UCUUCAAAGCUUCCCCGAGGAGGCCACCGCGGCAAUCCGCCACCUCUGGUUCCUCCUGAAGCAGCAGCAGCUCGACCUGACUGCUCAUGGCGCUCCGUGUAGGAUGCAGGAAUGGGAGCACGUGGAAGGGUGGGACAUGAAGAUUACAUCACCUGAAGGUGACCCUCAUGGCUGACUCAAGUGACUGGAUGAGAUCGUCUCACUGAAAGGAAUCAAUCUGGGCUCGACUGGUGGCCUUGCCCAAUGGACUGUAAUGUCUCCCUGGUUGGAAGAGGCUUUUGCAGCCCAGCCUAAAGUCUUCAGUUGAAGGUGUCUGGGGCCAGCUGGAAGAGGCAACGGUGACUGACUGCUGUGCAGUAUGACAGUCUGAUGGUGUGGGACACACUGCACCAAGAAGAUGAAGUUUAACUCGUGUGGUCAGAGUUGAGUGUGCUGUGAUUGGAAUGAAAUAAAACACCUUCCGACUA